GGUAAAUCUCUUAGGGACCAUGUGCUCUGCUCUGCCCCCAUCCCCACCCCAGAGACCACAUGCCAUGUUCUACUCCCCUACUGAGUGCUGAGCAUGAUCUCCCCCCUCCCACAUACUCCACCAGGGGAGGGAGAAAGAACUUCCAUUGGACUGUUGGGCAGAGGGGUGGGUAAAGUGAAGAAUGUCCUCAGAGAACUCAUCUAGAACCUUUGGAAUCCUAUGUAUCCCAUGUCCCAGUCAUUUCCUAGGUAGCCAAAACUCCCAGACAAUAUUAUGCUACAGCCAGAGCUUGAAGAAAGAGUUCAUCUAAGGCAUCUGUGCAAGGAAAUUUACUGCCAAAUGGAAAUAACUUCACCAGGUCCCUGGGCCAGCUACUUUCCUCUGGAAAUUCUAUUGCUACCUACCCUAAGCAAUUAA
rnacentral:lncRNA from 1 species